ensembl:snRNA U6 U6 spliceosomal RNA
GUGUUCCCUUUGACAGCACACAUGCUCAAAUUGGAAUGGUACAGAGAAGGUUAGCAUGGCUCCUGUGCUAACAUGUAAAUUCAUGAAGCCUUCUUCCAUAUU